GGGAGGGGUUCUGGGAGUGUCCAAACUGUCCACGUGAAGAUUCUCCUGAACAAAGAGACAGACCUGAAGGCAACCACAGGACUAAACCACGUUUGAACAGGGACCCAAAUCAGGGGAUGAAAAAAACACAUAAAUAUAUUAAAUAAUUUAAUAUCCCAGACAUCAGAGACGUCACAGUCCACAGCGAAAUACCAAAUCAAAAACAAUGGGCAAGGGUGAAGGUGAAAUGUGGGACGAUGGUGACCUGGCCCCGAGGCAAACUCAACCCCCGAGCUACGAGGACACGAUGAGGACGGACACAGCACCGAAGCCCAAGGGCAGCAGCUGCCCCACGUGUUGCCUAAAGACCCGGGACUGCCUGAUGAGCGCAGAGUGUGGACGGUGCCUCCAGAUCUCCAGCGUGGUGGCCAUGUGUGGAAUGUGCCUCCGGAUUUUUAUAUAAUCGAAUCUUGGAUGCAAUGGCACGGAUGUUUUGAGCAGGGAGUGAGAGGAAUUAAUUCUCGGUUGGAUCAACAAGAUUUCCCACAUAUUAUGUAACUUCCUUGCAGGCUCGGUGCCACGGGGGGGGGGGGCGUGACGACAAGACGACCAUCCCCGCCCCCUUAGUGAAAAUGAAUAGAUGUUAUGUUUAAAAUAAUUUAUUUUUACACAACUACGUUCCUACAACUAAGUUCCUAAGUAACAGUUUAGUCUACAUUUGCAAAUCAAAUUAAUUUGUUGUUUGGGUUGCUAGAAGUUCAAAAAGGUGUUUUCUGUGUGGAGGAAUUAACACUCUCGCAAUCAUACUGUCAUUGUGAGCAAGCAGAAGCACUAGUCUAGCUGUCUCAUUUAGUCGUACAUCCAUUUUGCACUACAAAAUGGAUGUACGAAAAUGGAUAACAAAGUGAUUUCAAAUGGAUCUAGUACUGAUUCAACGUAAGGGAUAUAUACUUCUUUACUGUUGUGCUGGCAAAGAAGCAGUGACUUUCAAUGGGCUUUGCUUAGCUCUAUUUCAGCAAUAUCUUUACUAUUGCCAUUGCAGAUUUAACCUUGGUUUUGUGGCAAUGUUCUGCAACUAUGAUAAAGUUAUCAUUGAGGUUCAUAUAGCAUUGGGUUUUGUCGAUUGUUGCGUAUUGGCGGCGCACUGUGUGCGUGCGUUGGUUAUGAUAGAUAUUUUGUCGGCGUACAACUGUAGGUGUUGGGUGUUUGGCAACACCCCCUCUCCGUAUUGCGUCGCCCCCUGACUGGCGCCCAGGUCUGCUUCCCUGUAAUAAUUAAGAUGUAAUUAAUGCAAGGUUGAUCAUGUAAUUAAUUGCAUGUAGUUAAAAGAUAAAAAAGGAACUGUACAAUAAAGGUUGAUUAAAGCACCUGAUAUUUAUGGUUUAUUACUUA
ensembl:lncRNA